GAUGAACGCUGGCGGCAGGCCUAACACAUGCAAGUCGAGCGGUUGACGGGAGCUUGCUCCCUGAUUCAGCGGUGGACGGGUGAGUAAUGCCUAGGAAUCUGCCUAUUAGUGGGGGACCACGUUUCGAAAGGAACGCUAAUACCGCAUACGUCCUACGGGAGAAAGCAGGGGACCUUCGGGCCUUGCGCUAAUAGAUGAGCCUAGGUCGGAUUAGCUUGUUGGUGAGGUAAUGGCUCACCAAGGCGACGAUCCGUAACUGGUCUGAGAGGAUGAUCAGUCACACUGGAACUGAGACACGGUCCAGACUCCUACGGGAGGCAGCAGUGGGGAAUAUUGGACAAUGGGCGAAAGCCUGAUCCAGCCAUGCCGCGUGUGUGAAGAAGGUCUUCGGAUUGUAAAGCACUUUAAGUUGGGAGGAAGGGUUGUAGAUUAAUACUCUGCAAUUUUGACGUUACCGACAGAAUAAGCACCGGCUAACUCUGUGCCAGCCGCCGCCGUAAAAC
rnacentral:rRNA from 1 species